rnacentral:misc_RNA from 1 species
GUAGCAAGUUUUAGAUUUUUUAUAUUUGGGAAUAGAGAGGAUAUAUCAUUCUUGUCACUUAAGUGGUUUCUGUAUUUCUUUAAUUUACUGCUUUAGAAUUCAUUGCCAAUCUUAAGUGCUUUUAUAAGUUUUAACUCCCUUUCUCAUCACAUUCAUCCUUUUUUUCCUUCCCCUUUGAUAUACUUGUAUCACCAUUGUUGUCGACCACAAAACUGAAAAGAUCUGGUCUCCAGAGAGAAGUCGUGACAUUGUUUCGUGUAUAAACUCGAAGGUAGACAAAAGGUAACCCUCCUACAGCAACAAACAUACUAGCGGCCGAAGGAACUAUCCACAUCGUGCAUCUUCACUCUGGAAAAAAAAUGUCCUAAAUUGCGACCCAUGCUAUGUAACCAGCUCAACUUUGCUUUGUGAUGAGCUCAAUGUCCGCUCCAACUUCAGCGAUCUUUGCUUCUUUAGAUGCCUUUGCCGCUUUUGCAAUAUUUGCAACGUCAAAGUCCAUUGCAAUUCUUUUAACAACACCUUCAAGCAUCAGUGAUCCUAUGGCAACUAAAGCCCGAAAUUUUGCAUCAGCUUCAACACUUUCCUCUUCAGCAAUCUCAAGUGCAGCUGAAAGUACUUGAGACUGUCCCUCUUCAUCCUUCUUUUCAACCAAGAGAACAGCAUAGUUGAGUAUCAGUGUUGAAUAAGCCAACUGAACAUUUUUAUUGGAAGAUAAGUAACAAGUGGAAUAUGCAUCCAGAACCUCCCCACGAUGCUUUAACAGCCAGUCAUGGUAGGAUGCAUUCUUAAAGAAGUUGGUCAAAGCACGAACACUUGUCAGAAGAUUUGCAGGUAGUGGAGGACUGGUUGUGACCUUCUUGAUCAACUCCAUGAGCACAUCAUUCGCCUUGUUGACAUGCUUGGAAAGUACAGCAGCACCAUCAGCAUGCAGUAUCAUCAUCCUCAAAAUAUCGAUUACUGGAAAUAACAUCGUCAACGGCCAAGAUUUUAGCAACUUCAGCACCAUUACAACAUCAUCGUCUGAGAAUUUACUACUAUGGUAGUGUGAUGUGUCCUUCAAAACAUGAAUGAUAGAAGCCAGUCUGGACAUAUCAGCCUCAGUCAAUACCAUAUGUUUUUGCUCUGGGGCAGAUAAUAAAGUAUUAUUGAACUCUGAAACUUUCUUGAGGAUACCAUCAAAUUGUGCUGCAUCAAAGACGAGCAUUCCUUUCUUGGGGACAUGCUUAAAAGUAGGUUUCGCUGCAACUGGCUUUGAAGGUUGACCAGGUGUAUAUGCGCUACUGCCAGUGUAGGGGUCACGGAAUGAUGGAUCCGGAGUGAACUGUUUCUGACCAGUAUUUUGAAGAAUGAACUCCACAAUUUGUUCACGGUAAGAAAGAGGCAGAUUCUCUUUGAGUAGCCACUUGUCAGCAACGUCAUAUGGAUUAUCUGAACGAUUGCAGGGUAAUUUGCGAAUAGGUUCACCAUCUCCAAUAUCAACAUCAAACACAUGAUCAUAUUGGAUUCCAUCAUGAAGAGGGCGAGACAUGCCAUCAUUGGGCCCGUCAACCACUUCACCAAUUUUAUCCCACUUCUGUUCCAUCAUAUUCCAUGCAUACGCCACUCCAUUGUCUCCUUCGCGGACAACUUUGGUCUGUCCAUCACUAUUACCUGGGAUUUGUAAGGCCUCAAGCCCAGGAAGCUCUUCCAAUUUCAACCCUCCAACUCUCUUCCUACUCAGCGUGUACUGUGAGAGUUGGGCAGCAUAUGACUCUAGUUCUAGCGGGUCAGCAAUCUUAUCCUGAUGGACAGUCCAAAUGCGCACCACACCAUCAGAGCAUGCGGUCACUAUGUCGCCAUUGUCUAAGAAUUUGGCAUCCCAAACA